AUCACCGCGAGGAACCCGAGGAACGAAACGCUCGGCAAACGUUUUUAUCUGACGAACGGAGGAACAACACAGAGCUUUUUGUUCAACUGUGCAUCAUACAAAUUCGAUAGAUUUGCUCCACGAAUCGACUAUGGGGGGGGACUCCGGUAAGUUCGACGCGGAUGUGGUGGCACCGGUGGCGGCCAGGUUUAUUUGGUUUCAUCGCAUCAAAGAGCGGAAAGGCAUCCGCCUGCUCAAUUUUUCAUCGACAAUGCACUGCUGAAACUGAGACUGGAGGCAAUGCAAUGGCGAAAAAACCAGACCCGCAAUUGGUCCUACCGGAGGAUGUAAAGUGAUGAAACAGGAACUUGGAUCAGUGACAGCAUCUGCGAGCUCGGAGGAAUCUGAUAGAACAGUGUAUAAUGUGUUAAAAAUAACGAUUGAGUGAAAUAAAAGUUGGUUGAAAUGA